GAUGAAGAACGCAGCGAAAUGCGAUACGUAAUGUGAAUUGCAAAUUCAGUGAAUCAUCGAGUCUUUGAACGCACAUUGCGCCCCCUGGUAUUCCGGGGGGCAUGCCUGUCCGAGCGUCAUUGCUGCCCUCAAGCACGGCUUGUGUGUUGGGCCCCGUCCUCCGAUUCCGGGGGACGGGCCCGAAAGGCAGCGGCGGCACCGCGUCCGGUCCUCGAGCGUAUGGGGCUUUGUCACCCGCUCUGUAGGCCCGGCCGGCGCUUGCCGAUCAACCCAAAUUUUUAUCCAAGUUGACCUCGGAUCAGGUAGGGAUACCCGCUGAACUUAAGCAUAUCAAUAAGCGGAGGA
rnacentral:misc_RNA from 1 species